CAGAAAUAAAUCGAAAAAAGAAAAUCCCGAUGGCGAUUAACUUUCCACGGUGAUCUGAUCGACUGGUUCUUCUCCGAUCUACACAGACUCUGUUCCAUUGUUAUUUCUCUGUGAUGUGUUCGAAGAGGAUAUCAAGAGAGCUCCGAAAAAACAUAUGUAAUUUACAGGAGCCAUCCUGGACAGGACCAAAGACAGUAACUGCAAGCUGAAGCUCUCACAAGUCUAUCCAACUCUAAUUCAGUGCUUGGCUGUGUGCAUAAAUAUCACUGAUGCUCUCAGAAGUCCAUCCUGAACUGUUCUCUCCCAUAUUCCUAUACAUCAGAAAGAACUGAUGGGUCCUGCAAUGGUUGACUUCUCCAAAUGAUACAAAAGAGAAGAAGCAAAUAUGAGAAGGU